ensembl:lncRNA
CAUUACCUGGGCUGGUGAAUCAUCCAUUCUCCCCCACAAGACAAUUCAUUCCAGCCCUGAGAAUCUUUAUGAGAAAGUUCCUCAUCGUAUUUAGGAAAAUUCUAUGCCUCUGUAAUUUUCACAGACUGAUCCAAAUUUCCGUACUCAGAGCACUACAGAGUAAAUGAUUUCCACCCUCCACUUGAUGGUUCCUCAGGAACACAUGAUUCCUGGGCAGUGUUUAUAAUAUCAGCAAUUUAUUGAGAGGCUGUCAUGGUCAGCUUCUCAACAUGUGUUAUCUUUAUCCUUGCAACAUCUAAAUGAGCUUCUCCAAGAACACGGAGUCUGCUGAUGAGAAGGCAACUGGGAGCCAACAGAACCAGCCUGCUCGGGACCCGGCACCUCCUUUUCCCACCCAUGUGACUGGUUUCCUGUACAUCCAUUCACCGUCCAUUCAGCCAGUCAGUCAGCCAUCAUUAAUUCAUUCCAAACCCUUUGAGUGCCCACCAUGUACCAUCCCUGCACCAGGCUGGGAGGAUAAAAGACAAAUAGCAGCUAACUCCUGACUCUCAGGAGCUCACAGUCCACACAGUUAUGGCUGCCAAGCAGGGGCUCAAUGCAAAUAUAUUGAAU